UACGAAGGGGGCUAGCGUUGCUUGGAAUCACUGGGCGUAAAGCGCACGUAGGCGGACUCUUAAGUCGGUGGUGAAAUCCUGGAGCUCAACUCCAGAACUGCCUUCGAUACUGAGAGUCUCGAGUCCGAGAGAGGUGAGUGGAACUGCGAGUGUAGAGGUGAAAUUCGUAGAUAUUCGCAAGAACACCAGUGGCGAAGGCGGCUCACUGGCUCGGUACUGACGCUGAGGUGCGAAAGCGUGGGGAGCAAACAGG
rnacentral:rRNA from 1 species